rnacentral:lncRNA from 1 species
UCAAACCCUUGAAAGAAACGUUUCUCUUGUUGGUCUUGAAUGCAUCAUCCUUGAAGAACUCCUAUUUGAUCCUAUCAACUUCGACAAAAAUCCAAACUUCUUCUUCUCAUGAUCUUGCACAACAUUCCUUUGAUCACUAACAAAAGUAAUCGAUCUACUCUUCUUUAAUAGACCAUUGUUCUUCCUCAACAAAUAAAGAUACCCUUUUCCAUCAAGAUUAUCGAUCUUUCGACGAUUUCGAUAGCUUGGCAAUGGAGAUGCAGCGUAAGAAGAAGCAUUGGAUGUGUUCUGUGAUGAAUAAGCCGACGAUAUCGAUGAGAUUGAAGACGAAGAAGACGAUGAGGAUGCAUUAGUGACCGCACUCGAUGAAGAACUCGAUAUCUUUGAUAAUCUUUCUCGUAAACACAAGGAACAAAUCCCUGGUGAUUGCCGGUGCUUAGGGUGUUUCUUGCAGAUUGUUACUGAAGAUCUUUGUCGGGCUUCCAUUGUGUGUGUAUAGGUGUUUUUGUGUGCUCUUAGGGUUUUGUGGGUGUUUUUUGAAUAGGUUUUGGUGGGUGUUGAAGGUGUUUGUGUGUGUUUCUGGGUAGGUUUUGGUGGCUGUUUGUGUGUAUGUUUUUGGGUAGGUUUUGGUUGGUGUUAGCUGUUUUGUGGUUGUGUUUCUUUGAGGUUUCAUGGGAGUUUCUUGUGAGUUUCGUAGUAAUGAAGGUUAGUUCAGACUUGUGA